rnacentral:lncRNA from 1 species
AACAAAGUACACUACGGCUAAUCGAAUAACUGCUUUGCUCUGCUCUGCUCUGCUAAUUCUCUCUUUGCGCUCGAUCCGUCAAUAUCUUGGCUUCUCCCUCCUUCCCUCCGCGGCUGUUACUCCUUCUACCUACUCCUUCGAUUACUGUUAGGUACCAAACUCUAGACCAAAUAUUUGAUAUGUAUAUAUAUGUGUAUUAUGUUAUGUUUGAAUCUUUGGCAUGUGGUUUUUCGUCUUCUUUACCUCUUUAAUUUUGACUUUAGUUUCAGAGCCUGUGGGUUUCGAUUCAAUUCCAUUUUUUGUUAAUUUAUGUGGUUCAAAUGUUUGAUUGAUUGAUUGAAGGAAUUGCUGUAUACUGGCCUACUGGGUUGUCCUUAAUUAGGAAUAUGUGAGCAGCUUGAUUUUAGUAAUUUUCAGUAACUUGGGUUCUGUUUAUAUAGAUAAUGAUGUUUUUGUGUGAUACUUUUGCUGUGUAAUCUAGAUAUAAAAAUAUCAUUUUAGUAUUUGAGCCAAACUCUGUUUGAAACAAGAUUUGUGUGUUCAAAAUGUUAAGUAUGCGACAAAAUUUAAUGUGUUUGCAUAGUUGAUUAAAAUUUUUCUUGUUCAAAUUCGAUUUAAGUGACACAUUAUGUUUGAGCUAUGUGAUUUUUAAAAAAAAAACUAUUUCUAAAAAUCAGAUCAAGGAUUAUAAGAGGUCAAUCUAAAAAAUAAAUGUUAGUUCUUUAUAUGAGUUUAUGGAUGGCAUUGCAUGUCAUAAUUAUGCCAAAUCAUCCAAAGGUAUGAUUCAAAUUUUAGUAACUAUCCAUAUGCAGUCAUUUCUUUACUACAUUAUUUUUAUGUGAUUUAAUGUUACUCAGUUGCAGUUAGUAUAAAAUGAAAAACUAAUGUGAUCUAAAAGGUUAUGUGAAUUAACAUAUUUGACAAGAUUAUAUAAUGUAGAAUGAAGGCAAUUAUUCUACUUGUUAUUGGUGAUUUAUGCUAUCCCACGACCAAAAUAGUUUAAUCUGUUAUAGAAUUACCGGACAUUAUUCUUUUUUAUUGCUCUUUUGCUGACUCAAACUGCUCCUACAUAGUGAACAUUAGUUUUGCAUAUUAACUAUAUGAUUUGGAAAUUUGUUUUAAGAAUCAUCAGUUAUGUUAUGUACUGCGUUAUUUGCGUAACACAGUGUAAUGACUGAUCUAUGUGAUAUGUGUUUGUAUUGGGUAUGGUUUAUGGUUUCAACAUAGAUUUUGAUGACCACCUUAUAUGUCUUUAGGUAGAAAGAAAUUUAUUAGAGGGGUCUUGCAUUUGAUUCAUAACGAUCCACUUCUCUUACUCUUGCUCUCUUCCCAAAAACCCCUAAUAUCAAGGUUAAUUGUCAACUUAUGUUAGCUAUGGAGCAGUAUGUAUCUCCACAAAUACAUUUGUAAUACAAGAAUUAGUAUUCCAUUAUAAUGAAUUUAUGACGUUGUAUUGUGAGGCUACAUUUCAUGUUAUGCAAGGACUACAACUAUUUGUUUUCAGGUUUCAGCAACAAUGUAAGUUUGCUCUACAGAACGUUUAUAAAUUGAAAACAUCAACAUAUGUCAUUUAACGACAUCUUUUUUUUUUUGGCAUGAUAAGUCAAGGAUUGCUAUUGCCAUAUGCAGUUUUCCAGUUUGUCUGUCCUGUUUUCUGCUUUUUGGUCAAAAUGAAGUUCAAGUUAAUAGUGCCAGUUCAUUACUUAUCAUGCCAAAAAAUUGUGCUUUAAACAAACAUUACACAUACUAAUCUAUUACUCAUUAUUAUCUCUUUUUAGGUGAGAUUAGACGGAAAGUAUGUUAUCAGAUUCAUGCUAUAUGUGUUGUAUGUUGCACAAGUGUGUACAGUUAAUUGCAAUUGGUGUUUUUAUAAGCCAUGACUAGUGAAUGCACCUUUAUUUUAACUACCUUUGUUUCACAAAUAAUUUUUUAUGUUUUAUUUUUAAUUUACUUGCGCAGAAUAUGCCUGUCUUCAUGUCAAUGGGCAACCAUUUUUUGCAUGAAAUAGUUUUGGGAUUUUUUUUACUUUACCUAUACAUUACAAAUUAGAUAAAAUCUUUGUCACGGUGUGUUUUACUAUACACCUCUACAUGCUGUUAUUAUCUUCAAGGAUUUUCAUGAUGGCCUUUUCACUGUUCUUUUAUACACUCCCUCUGUCCAAUUUUCAUUAUGCAAGUAAUGAGAGAUGAUAUUGCAUUAAGAAUCUCUAACUUGGAGGUGAAUUUUGGUCUCUACAUAUCUAAUAUCUAAUCAACUAUAUGGUUUAGCAAAUACUUUAAUAUAUGUAGAUUCUGGAACUUCACUUUGUUUGAUCAGUGUUGGAGUUGUUCUUGCUUUGUUACCUUUUCGUUUGUUCUAUUUUGAGCUGCCCAUUUUGUGGUCUGAUCUAGUGGCUUUGGUAUUCACAAUCUGGAUUUCUGUGUUUAAAUUUUAGGUCUUCUCACAUUAUAAUUUGGUUUUUGCUACUUUACUUUUAUGGGUUGACAAAAUCACACACAUUUGACAAAAUUGCAUACCUUCAAAGAUAUGAUAUCAGAAAUAAGAAUGUUAUUGAGUUUUUAGGUAUCAUUUAAAUUUGAUUUGGAAGAAAAUCAGGGCACAACUAGAUACUGAAAUGAAUUAUAUGAAUACUGAAAAAACUUGACAAAAAAAAAGAAAAAGAAAAAUCCCAGCAACCUGAAAAUUACAAUUUUUAAUUGAAAAGCCAAUGUGUUAUCCGUGUUUUUCAUUCUUCAACUUUUAUUGGCUUAUGUAAAUAUGAUCAUAUAUGUGGAAGUGAUGGAACUCUAUACUUUUAGUUGAUUUCACAUCUUAUAUAAUUAGCUGUUAAAGUUUGUUGAACUUUUAUGCGCAAAUUCAUUUCAUUCAAAAUUUUAAAGUUUCUCCAGUUAAACCAGUUGAAUCUUCAGUGUGAUAUAUGUUCAAGGCUGUCAUAGACUACUUUCUUGAAGAGAAUAAAAAUUAUCCCAUUUUUAAGUUUAAAUAUUUGUUUUAGUUGGGGAGUGUGGGAGCUAACUCUAGAUGGGUCUAUGAAAUUUCGGUAUUCAUCCUUUGCAUGGCCUAAUUUGGGUUCUGCUUAGAUUGCCAUUUUUUUAUAGCAUUUUUAAAUACCACAUUGCAUUCUAUUAACCAUGGUCUGAAAGUCUUUUUCUUUUAAACUGUUACCAUAUUUACGUUUUAUCCACAAUUGUUCUUCAGAGUUUUGUUGAUAAAUAAUGUUCAUUUAUUGGUAGAGGACAUUGAUUAAUGUAAUCAUUCAUGCUUCUUCUGAUUUGGGUUGGUUAGUAUUAACAUAUCUGAGAUUUUUUUCAGCUUAAUAUUGUUUUACAUAAUUAUAUCCACAUGUAGCAUUCUUGGCACAUUAAACUGGUUCAUAAGGACUGACUCAUGUAUUUUUUUUCCUUCUCUUAAUAAUGUAGCUGGUAACAUUAAAAUUUAAUGUUGGCUUUCCAUGCCAAGAAAAGAGAAAUGUAAAAGAUUGAAUGAUUUAUGAAUUGUAUUAUUGCAACAUGCUCAUUAAAUUAUUACCAUACAAGAAGAAAAGGAAAAAUGAUCAUUAGAUUCUCAAUUUCUUAGAGUUGUGAUAGAGAGUGAUUCCAAAAGAGUUAUUGAUGGUCUUGUUUUGGAGCAGAACAAAGGGAUAAUUAUUAUUUUGAUUCUCUUUUAGUUGAUUGCUUCAAUCUCAAAACAGAGGGAUAAUUCAUCUUAGCUUCCUAAAGUUCUUAGAAAAAUUUAGAAAGCACCUAGAAAUCCACCCUUUUCUAGGGUCACCCAUUGCAACAAGUGCCCCCAUCUUUGAACCCUCUAACUCAUGAACAACAAAUUGGCAAAUUGUCCCACCAACAAGACUUUGUAGGAAAUUGCCCUUUCAGUUCUCAUACUGCAACACAUUUGAUUUUAACUUAUAAGUUAUUAUCAAUGUCCUUUUUAGUAAUCUUUACAUUUGAUUUUAACUUAUAAGUCAUUAUUAGGCGAACACCUUCACAACUUCUUUUAACUUAAUUUCUGACUUAUUUGUCCAAUUGGUGUUGAACGCUUUUACUUAUAAGUAGCAACUUAAAAUAACUGAUAAGUCAACUUAUAUUUUAACUUGAGUCAUUUUAGAAUAAGUCGUUGCCAAACAGACCCUAAAAACAAGUCGUUCCCGAACGGGUAGCACUAUAGACUGAAAUGGGCAUUAAAUAGGGAUACCUAUUACCUAUAUGAGAUUGACCUCAGAAUGCCCUACCUUCUGCAAACAUAUAGUUUCUGCUUUGCACAUUAUUUACAAGUUUCUGAAUUAUGAAUAUCAUGUUAUAGUUUUCUUCUUUAAGUUUCUGAUUAUUUGUGUGAUGUGGCAAUUCUGUUUGUGUUUGAUGGUUGUUCUAUUUGGAUUUGGUUCUUUGUGUUAUGUUUUUAAAUAGGCACAUCAAAUUUGGGUAAGGGAGUAAGCUAAUAUUGACUAGAUAACACAGAUCUAUCUUGAUCAAAAGAAGCUGUUUGAUUAAAAGCUGGGAGGUAGGUGAUAGUUAUGAUUUUUUGAGCUUAAUUAAUCUAUCAACUCCUUAUAAAUCUUUUCUUUACAAAUUCUAGUCAAUAGCAAAUUGCCAUAACUAGACGUGUUGCCCAAGUAGUUUUUUUAUAUUUCCCCCCUCCCCCAAAGUUUCUGCUAGAUCUUCAUCUCAUGUGCUAUGCC